GUUCGGCUCUGUCAGCCUCUGCCCUGUCUCAGGGCCAAACUUAGGUAGGGUAGGGAGCAACUGUGGAUUGCCUGGUCCGGGCUAAGGGACAUCUCUUGGGGCCUAUGGAUAAGGAGCAUCCCCGGUUGCAAGCGUAGGGUUGUAAGUUUGUAGGGUUCAGCGCUGGAGCUUGGCAGUGACACAGAGACACUGAGGGAGAGCUUCAGAGGUCAAAAGCUCAAAGGCUGGAAACAAACAGUGAAAAUAAAAGGGGUACAGGUUGGGAUAUAAGGUAGCGUACAGGACUAUUCGAACCCUAAACAGUAGCCCUAAAAAUGCCCCCCAUUUUCCUGAGAAAGCUGCAGGCAGGAACCCUAAAGCAGCAGAGUGCCAGAACCCUCGAGAGCUGCAGGCAGUACCCCUGGUGCUAGGGCCAGCCAGGAAGUGAUAGUGAGUGCUAGGGCCUACUGCUGUCAUAUAAGCUGGGGUUUCCAUCCUUGGGGUACCCUGGGCUCCCUGUCCCUCACUGACUGGAGAGUCUUCCUCCCCUCCUUGAGGUGGUGGUAAUUUGGCUGUGUCAGCCAAUACUGCUGUGAAGCAAGCCUCUGCCUCCCUGUGGGGUGAAGUGUGCAGCCCAUGAACCUGGGCGUUCUCUAGAGAAGGUAAGUGCUGGGUUUUCACAGAUGUGCCGCUAAGAUCCUGCACUGAUAUUUGGUCUUCUUGAUUGUAGCUGACCAGGAGACGACAUCCUGGCGAUGGCAGGAACUUCCCGGAUGGCGAGGCGGCCUUCCUUGACGCCCCAUGUGGAUCCUCCCCGCUGGGCAUCCGAGAGCUAAGUCGAAGGCUACAAAUUGCAGAUGGGAUGAAAGCGGGGUGCAGGGUCGGGACUCGUGACCUGGGAUUAUGGAGUCAGCUCUGGGGAUGGGGAGGUCCAGACUGUGGCCCCUUAGGCCACAUGGUGGGAGAGCCUCACUUUUGUUCACAGUGCUGAGGUACGCAGGACAGAGCAGCCCCGGGGCGCAUCAUGUCACUUGUCUGUCGUGCCUUCUGUGUCUUUUGUGCCUCUCGUGUUGUAUGUGCCUUGCCUUAUCUCUUCUGGGGGCUUACCAGAAACCCCGGUGUCACUCGUAGCAUCUCUGAUCUCUGGGCUCCUCAGCCCGACGCUGUCGAAGCUUUGCCUCGGGAGCUCUCAGACGCCUUGGAAUUGCGUCUGUUUUGAAAAGCAUCUGAUCGGAUGUCUUUUAGAGGUCUUGUUCCGAGCUGUGUCAACAGCCGUGCGCCGCGAGGAUCCAUUGUUGUGGCUUAGGUCUUGAAGAAACGCAAAGAUUGGUAGGGGACUGUGGCCCUAAGAUUCUCGGGCAUCCCUCUUGGCAGUUCCUGGAGUUAAUCGUUCCAUCAGCAUCUUCUUCCUCCCGGGUUCUGCGAGCUUCAUCAGCUCGCCUUCAUUCUCACCCGGCUCAUCUCGUUCCACGUUCUCUCGGUCCUUGUGGCCGUUCUUGUGGCCCAGAGUUUUGUCUCCCCGUUGUGUGCCCUUGUCUGUUGUCUUGUGUGUCACGGGUGUCUGGGUGUAGUUGUUGCGGAGCUGCUCUGCCCUGCUGCCCAGCCUGGGUGUAGGUGUAAAAGGCCAAGUCCCAGGCCCCUGUAAUUUGAAAUUUGUAGGUUUUACUUGGAGUCUAGAGGGCAUUCCUAGAUGGACACAAGAUGUCUGGAGCUGUGAAGUUACCCUGCAGCACUUUGACUUCUGUCUUAGCUCUCUUUCAGAUGCAGAUGGAUGAAAUCGGUGGCAGAGCGCCCCAUCCAGGGAAGUAGAGUCAGCUAGUAGCAGUCAAGGUGAAGUGGACAAGGCAGUCCAGUCGUGUUUCACCGAGAUCC